CUCAUGCUGCAGUCGGUUCUUGCAAAGCAACAACUCAGACUCCAGCCUGAAUGUGUCAGUCCCAGCGCCGGCUCCUUUAAACACAGUCAGUCAGUGCCCAUCGCUGCGGGAACCAGACAAUAGGAGGCUGAUUGGUCUUUUGGUCAGCUACAAUGGGGCUCAGUUUGCCAGCGCCCUGCAUUCUGCCAAUGUGGACUGGCACCCUCUUCAGUGUCCUCGUCUUGUCCACACAUGUAAACCCACAGCAAUUGAACGCAAGCUGUAGCCACCACUAUGACAAAAGAAAUCAUUGCUGCAAUGAAUGUCAAGCAGUGAAAGAACAGUUUCCAUUGGUCCUUCCAGGACAUUUCCCUUGUAGCUCUGGCAGGAGUGUGGUGGGAGUUCUGGAAACCAACUAGACAACGUCCAAGUACCCAUGGAACAGGCUACCCUCUCCAGAACCCUUCAGCCAGCCUAACCCCUUAAUCCUCAACAAUACUUUGAACCUUACAGAUCUGCUCAAUUCAAGAAUUUGCAGCACUGAAUCUGUCAGUGAGACUUGACCAGUGUCUGAAGUUAUCAUCACCAGGGAGGUCAGCUUAGAGCCACCUCAGCUUCAAAGGGUAGCAUCCAGACUCCCUCAUCAAUGGUCCAUUAUCUCAUCUAAAUGCCUAGCGGAUAGCAGAGCUCCUCGCAAGUGGUAUCAGAACUGACCCCAAGUUAUACCAGUGCUUUAAUACCCUCUGCCAAAGCCUGAUACAAGCUGUACCUUAUCAAAUACAAGUUCCGUCAAUUUCAGUUCUCGAGCGUCAUCAACAGCAGGUGGUCUAUCUGCAAUGUAGUCCUGGUAAUCAGUGAGCCGUGGACAAACAAGCUCAUGUUCUCAAAUGUGGCCUCCAGGUUACACCUUCCGCCAGCUAUUCUGACAAGUUUUGAAAGUUUCCUCAUCUCCUCUCUCAGAGGCAACUAUUUUCAUUGUGGAAGAAGAGCCUUUUCACGUAUCUGAUAUGGUGCUAAUCAUCUCGAUGUUCUAGAUGUCCAAGUCAAUUGCCUAGCAAGAAACUUAUUAUCGACUAGGAAAUGCAGAUCCACAUAUCAAUGGUUGUAGCAAAGAGAUUUGCUCACCUUGAUGAUGACUUAUGAAUUCCAGUCAGAGGUUGGUUUAAAUUACAGCCCUAUUUUGUUCCACUCCCUUUCUGUCAGUUAGUCCUGCAGCUCAUAAGGCUGCCAAUGGUAGUCUGAUCUUUAUCCCAAAAAACACUGCCUCAGACUUAUUCAAAAUAACGUUUGCCCAAAGUGCCGCUCCCACUGGGUCGAUCCAUUUUCUGAAUGUCAGAGCCUUUCCCUGUGCAUUACUAACACAUUUUGAGAUUUGUAUCAUGUUUCCAAAUGCUCCUGUACAGACUGGGAGUGAAGCUGGACUGAGAACUAAUGAGAUUGUGCCUCGGUUAUGCAUGUGGUGAGACCACAUCUCGAAUACAGUGUGCAGUUUUGGUCCCCUUAUUUAUGGAAGGAUGUAAAUAUGUUGGUGGCAGUUGAGAUGAGCUUUACUAACUUGGUACCUGGAAUGAGUGAGUUGCCUUACAGGGGGUAGAUUGAACAGAUGGACUUCUUAACACUGGAGUUUUCAAGAGUGAGGGGUGACAGCAUGGAAUUGUAUACAAUCCAGAUUGGUCUUGACAAUGUGGACAUGGAAAGCAUACAAACAUACAUACAUGGGAAAUUGGAAGAGAGGUAGACCAUGUGGAUCCUCAAACAUGCUCCGCCAUUCAAUAAUAUCAUGGCUGAUCUGUUUGUGUUUUGAAUUUCACAUAGUUGUGCCAAACAAGAAUCUAUUCACCACAACCUUAAAAAUAUGUAAUGAAUCUGCCUCCACUACCUACUGGGGCAGAGAGUUCCCAAGUCCUACAAUCUUCUGAUA